ACAGAAACAAUGGAUGACGAUACGCUGAAAUUGGGAUUGAAAGCUAGAGGAAAAUCCACAAGUGGUUCUCGUAUGAGUCUAAUCAAAAGAUUCAAGGAUCCUGAUGAGGGUUGCCAAGGCCUCCAUAAACAAUUACCCGGAGGUAUUGCAUGUCGUUUUUCGGACAACUGUCUUAGCGUGACGUGCUGUGUUGAACUCAAGCUUGUCGUUAUUCGGCGGGUCUUGGAAGCUUCACUUACCUUAGACCCCUGUAGUCUGGAGCUCACUUUGACCGUUGGAAAUUUCAAAAGGUCCUUUAAAGUCACUGAUCAUUUAGCGGAGCAAUAUAGUGGAUCUAUCAUAGACAAUCUAAAUGUCAUGGAUGUGGUGACAUUCACGGUAACAUAUUCUAUCAAGAGGGUUGGCAAUAAAGUGACAGUGGACUUGAGUGCUUCAAUGUGUGCAAAGGAUAAGUGCAAAGAAUUUUCCAAAGUAUUCGACGGGUUGACCCUUUCCCUUCCCC